CACAGAAGAAGCACCGGCUAACUCCGUGCCAGCAGCCGCGGUAAUACGGAGGGUGCGAGCGUUAAUCGGAAUUACUGGGCGUAAAGGGUGCGUAGGUGGUUAAUUAAGUUAUCUGUGAAAUCCCUGGGCUCAACCUGGGCAGGUCAGAUAAUACUGGUUAACUCGAGUAUGGGAGAGGGUAGUGGAAUUUCCGGUGUAGCGGUGAAAUGCGUAGAGAUCGGAAGGAACACCAGUGGCGAAGGCGGCUACCUGGCCUAAUACUGACACUGAGGCACGAAAGCGUGGGGAGCAAACAGGAUU
rnacentral:rRNA from 1 species